rnacentral:rRNA from 1 species
CGUGUCGUGAGAUGUUGGGUUAAGUCCCGCAACGAGCGCAACCCUCGUCUUCAGUUGCCAGCAUGUUUGGGUGGGCACUCUGAAGGAACUGCCGGUGACAAGCCGGAGGAAGGUGGGGAUGACGUCAAGUCCUCAUGGCCCUUAUGUCCUGGGCUACACACGUGCUACAAUGGCGGUGACAGUGGGAAGCUAGCCAGCGAUGGUGUGCUGAUCUCUAAAAGCCGUCUCAGUUCGGAUUGCACUCUGCAACUCGGGUGCAUGAAGGUGGAAUCGCUAGUAAUCGCGGAUCAGCAUGCCGCGGUGAAUACGUUCCCGGGCCUUGU